rnacentral:rRNA from 1 species
GACAGAGGUGGCGAGCGUUGUUCGGAAUUACUGGGCUUAAAGGGCGAGUAGGCGGUAGGGCAAGUCUGAGGUGGAAUCCUAUGGCUUAACCAUAGAAUUGCCUUAGAAACUGUUUUACUUGAGUCAGUGAGGGGAGGGCGGAAUUCCUGGUGUAGCGGUGAAAUGCGUAGAUAUCAGGAGGAAGGCCUGUGGCGAAGGCGGCCCUCUGGCACUGCACUGACGCUGAGGCGCGAAAGCGUGGGUAGCAAACAGG